rnacentral:rRNA from 1 species
GACAGAGGGUGCAAACGUUGUUCGGAAUUACUGGGCGUAAAGCGUGUGUAGGCGGCCUUAUAAGUCGGAUGUGAAAGCCCAGGGCUCAACCCUGGAAGUGCACUCGAUACUGUAAGGCUCGAGUACUGGAGAGGUUGGUGGAAUUCUCGGCGUAGAGGUGAAAUUCGUAGAUAUCGAGAGGAACACCGGUGGCGAAGGCGGCCAACUGGACAGAUACUGACGCUGAGACACGAAAGCGUGGGGAGCAAACAGG